UACGUAGGGCGCAAGCGUUGUCCGGAAUUAUUGGGCGUAAAGAGCUCGUAGGCGGCCUGUUGCGUCCGCUGUGAAAUCCCGGGGCUUAACCCCGGGCUUGCAGUGGAUACGGGCAGGCUGGAGGCAGGCAGGGGAGACUGGAAUUCCUGGUGUAGCGGUGGAAUGCGCAGAUAUCAGGAGGAACACCGGUGGCGAAGGCGGGUCUCUGGGCCGUUACUGACGCUGAGGAGCGAAAGCGUGGGGAGCGAACAGG
rnacentral:rRNA from 1 species